rnacentral:misc_RNA from 1 species
ACACCUCAACUCCCAUGGUUUGCCAUGGUGAGCUUGGACUUUGGGGGUUUUGCUGGCCCACGGUCGGCUCCUCUCAAAUGAAUUAGCCUGCCAGUGUUUGGUGGCAUCACGGGUGUGAUAAAUAUCUACGCUUGCGAUUGUCCACCAGGUAACCUUCAGCAAUGGGGGUUCGCUGGGGCUCACAGAUGUCUCUCCCUCAGCGAGGACAGUUUUUUAAC